UCAAACUCUUUAGCAACCAUUUAUGAUUAUGAUGUCGAAUGGCACAAGGUGUCGAUUUAGAUUACCGAGUUAUUUGAAACGUGUUUCAUUUGUUCUUUACAAAGUGUUAGAUACAAUUUCACUGCACAUAAGAAUUUUCUAGCUCAGUUAAAACGUAUUUUCAAGCAUACAAACCACAACUAAACAACGCGAAUGUAAAUAUAUACGACUGAGUCAUACAUCCUAAAAAAGGCAAGCAACGGACUGGUAAUAGGUAGGCCUGUUUUAGAGACUGUGGUAAACUACAGUUCAUUAUUACAUGCGAAAUGUUUUUGCUUCGGAGCAGAACACUGAUCUAUCUCUGUCUUCAUAUCUUUUUCUUCUCAGAGCUGGAGUGUGAUGCCUUGCUCCUAUUCAUGGCUAUUGACCUACAAUUUUUGAACAAUCUAAAUUAGUUAUUCAUUCAAUGGGAAAUCAGAAGUGGGGAUUACUUUACCAAGAUCAUUAGCAAGUUUAUGAGGGAAAAGAAAGCGAUAUAACUUCCAAAAGCAAACGUAAGAAUGAAGUACAUAGUAUUAUACUCCCUCCGUUCCAAAAUAGAUGACUCAAAUUUGUACUAACUUUAGUACAAAGUUAGUACAAAGUUGGGUCAUCUAUUUUGGAACGGAGGAGUAGCUGGGAAAGUAGGAACAUGAGAUGCGGCGUGUUUUAGAAAAAAAUGGUCGAGUCCCUGAUCCUAGUAACAUGAGCUGAGAUUAUUUUGUCAGGGACUCAUGGUCAUGGCUGUAUAUAAUUUUCACAAGCAACAAACCUAUGUGACAACCUACCUUCGAUCACAAAGCUAUAUAAUCUAUAUAAUAGACAAAAAUGGAGCAUUCGAUAACUUAAAUACCUAUUUUUCCUACCAUAGUGUGAUGAGGCUCUGAAACUGCACAUACAGGGAUUUUCAUGGGACCAUUCAGGACUUUGAAAAAAGAUACAAAAACUGCAUUCAGCUCUUCCAUCUAAGGCUACCUCAAUAAUAAACCAAUACUAAAUGAUAGAAUAAUCUGAAAAUCGUAUAUGAUAACAAUGCAAAAUAAUCUUGCAGCACCUCCUAAAACUGUAAAAGCUGUGAAAUUGGCAGUCAACUUACUAUCAACGAGAAACACCACACUAUGAUAACAAUGCAAAAUAAUCUUGCAGCACCUCCUAAAACUAUAAAAGCUGUGAAAUUGGCAGUCAACUUACUAUCAACGGGAAACACCACACUGCACUAUAUUUUUCCAGGAACAAGAUGCUAAUAUGCUUUCCCGUUCCCCACUGCAAGGAUGCACGUCGUCUCCCCAUUCUCCACCGCGAGGACGCCGACGCGUCCCUGUUCUCCACCGCCAGCACGCCCAACUCCUCCCCUAUCUCCACCACAAGGACGUUGGGCGCCUCUUCGUUUGCCACCCUGAGCACCGCAUUGAGGUCGUCUAGCAAUGUACUAUCAAGGCAACUGCUUUUCAUUGUCCCCCUCUAUUAAUUUUUCGCCGCACACACCCCUUGUUAUUCUACACCUAGGACGGCUGUUCUUGUAGAUUUUGCCGACCACCAUGUUCUGCAGUAAAUAGUAUGGCUGCAGUCCAAUGUGUUGAUUUUCAGCAGGCCAAUGUGUUGAUUGACUAAUUUUGUGCAUCAAAAACAGUAGGGCAGUGUUGAUGAAUCAAUUUUGUUUAGUAAAAAACGGAGUCUGUGACAAUACUAUAAAAGCGCUAGUCUCCAAAGUCCACCAUGCCGCAAAAACAUUUAGCACCCAUUUAAAUAUGGAUUUGGGUUCAUAUAUACACAAAGCGCAGUAAUUGUUGUGAAGCAAGAAAAAUAAUGCUCCUACUAUCAGAAAUAUGUGCCGACAACAACACCAUCCUAUUAGAGCUCGAAAACAGGAACAGAGAAGGCACCUAUACCUGUUCAUGGAGCUGUGUCUGAACCUCCAUUUGCAUAUGUAGAGCUUCUGCCAAGUUCCUAAGAAAAGGAGAAGGGGACAGAUGUAAAUUUGUAAGGUCAUGGUAUUUACCAUGCAUACAUUCUAGUGUACUAAUUCAGAGAUAUUACUUGUUUUUGAACGGAGCACUUCCACUGCUACCUAGUCGUACCUUCUUAAUAUCUGAGGAGGCCUUCUUUGAUGCGUAUUCAGUAUAAAAAAGGACUGCUCAUGAGUAGAAAGAUCAUUGUCGCAAUUUGGAAUGACAUGUUCUAGUAGGAAUCCUAGAUAUACAAAGAGAGGAUUAGUUCGGCAGAAUCAAUACGAUUAUUAGUAAAAAAUACAGAGUCCGUAACAAUACUAUAAAAGCUUAGUCUCCAAAGUCCACCAUGCCGCAAAAACAUUUAGCACCCAUUUAAAUAUGGAUUUGGGUUCAUAUAUACACAAAGCGCAGUAAUUAUUGUGAAGCAAGAAAAAGAAUGCCCCUACUAUCAGAAAUAUGUGCCGACAACAACACCAUCCUAUUAGAGCUCAAAAACAGGAACAGAGAAGGCACCUAUACCUAUUUAUGGAGCUGUGUCUGAACCUCCAUUUGCAUAUGUAGAGCUUCUGCCAAGUUCCUAAGAAAGGAGAAGGGGACAGAUGUAAAUUUGUAAGGUCAUGGUAUUUACCAUGCAUACAUUCUAGUGUAAUAAUUUAGAGAUAUUACUUGUUUUUGAACGGAGCACUUCCACUGCUACCUAGACGUACCUUCUUAUUGUCCAAGGAGGCCUUCUUCUCUGCAUACAGUAUGCAUCAAAAUUCAGUAUAAAAAAGGACUGCUCAUGAGUAGAAAGGUCAUUGUCGCAAUUUGGAAUGACAUGUUCUAGUAGGAAUCCUAGAUAUACAAAGAGAGGAUUAGUUCGGCACAAUCAAUACAAUUAUUAGUAAAAAAACAGAGUCCAUAACAAUACUAUAAAAGCACUAGUCUCCAAAGUCAACCAUGCCGCAAAAAUAUUUAGCACCCAUUUAAAUAUGGAUUUGGGUUCAUAUAUACACAAAGCGCAGUAAUUAUUGUGAAGCAAGAAAAAUAAUGCUCCUACUAUCAGAAAUAUGUGCCGACAACAACACCAUCCUAUUAGAGCUCGAAAACAGGAACAAAGAAGGCACCUAUACCUGUUCAUGGAGCUGUGUCUGAACCUGCAUUUGCAUAUGUAGAGCUUCUGCCAAGUUCCUAAGAAAAGGAGAAGGGGACAGAUGUAAAUUUGUAAGGUCAUGGUAUUUACCAUGCAUACAUUCUAUUGUAAUAAUUCAGAGAUAUUACAUGUUUUUGAACGGAGCACUUCCACUGCUACCUAGUCAUACCUUCUUAAUGUCUGAGGAGGCCUUCUUGUCUGCAUACAGUAUGCAUCAAAAUACUGUAUAAAAAAGGACUGCUCAUGAGUAGAAAGAUCAUUGUCGCAAUUUGGAAUGACAUGUUCUAGUAGGAAUCCUAGAUAUACAAAGAGGGGAUUAGUUCGCCAGAAUCAAUACGAUUAUUAGUAAAAAUACAGAGUUAAAAACAAUACUAUAAAAGCGCUAGUCUCCAAAGUCCACCAUGCCGCAAAAACAUUUAGCACCCAUUUAAAUAUGGAUUUGGGUUCAUAUAUACACAAAGCGCAGUAAUUAUUGUGAAGCAAGAAAAAGAAUGCUCCUACUAUCAGAAAUAUAUGUCGACAAGGCGACAACAACACCAUCCUAUUAGAGCUCGAAAACAUGAACAGAGAAGGCACCUAUAGCUGUUCAUGGAGCUGUGUCUGAACCUCCAUUUGCAUAUGUAGAGCUUCUGCCAAGUUCCUGAGAAAAGGAGAAGGGGACAGAUGUGAAUUUGCAAGGUCAUGGUAUUGACCAAGCAUACAUUCUAGUGUAAUAAUUCAGAGAUAUUACUUGUUUUUGAACGGAGCACUUCCACUGUUACCUAGUUGUACCUUCUUAAUGUCCGAGGAGGCUUUGUUUUCUGUAUAGAGUAUGCAUCAAAAUUCAGUAUAAAAAAGGACUACUCAUGAGUAGAAAGAUCAUUGUCGCAAUUUGGAAUGACAUGUUCUAGUAGGAAUCCUAGAUAUACAAAGAGAGUAUUAGUUCAGCAGAAUCAAUAUGAUUAUGCAACAAACUAUCAACCAUUGCACUAUAUCUCAAGAAUUUAUAGUGUAGCCUCCAAACAAAGCGGCAAUCAAGGCAACAUCAAUCUAACAACAAUGGCUGACCGAUGAUGUUUUAGUCCUUCUGGUUUACUAAUUCAGAGGAACUGUAACAAAAAUCGCUCUUUGGUCAAUAGCAUCAACUGAUUCUUUGAAAUCUAAAUUCCAAUCUUAGCUAAAAUUAUUCUUCCUCUCUUCUAUGUCAGAUCUGCACACGUCAAGUUUAAAAAUCCAUAUAAUAGCAAAGUAAAAUACGUGUGAGAAAGAAAUUAAGAGAGGGAGAGAAAGAGUGGAGCACCUAGUUCACCGCCGGCUUGCAUCGCUCGAGCCGCCGGCAACAGGCACAUGUUGUCCUCCUUAUACUCCAGAUCCACGAGGCAGUCAUGGGAGGAGGGAUGAGCUCCUGGUUCCUCUCGCCUUCCCACACCACCUGUUCACCUCGAGCUCCUUCCCCAUGCUAGGAUCGCUCACCUUCUCCUUCCCCGCUGUUGCUUGCCUUCCUCCCCGGCCUCCUCCUUCCCUUGUCGUCCGCAUCCUACACCUCCCCUACAUCCCCACCUGCACCGCAAAGAUGACCUAUGUCCAAUCUGGAUCGACGGUGAGAUGGAAGAGGAUAGGAGGAGGCGAGCAGAGGAGAAGGCUGGCGGUGGGAUCGACGACGACAUGGUAGCGGAGAGGAGGAGGCGAGUGGAGAGACGAGGUCGGCCGGCGGCUGCUGGCGAGGAGAGGAUCGUGGGAAUCGAGGGAGGGGUGCGGCGGCUCGUGGGGAUCGAUGGGAAAGAGAAAGAGGGCUAGGGUUCGUUUGGCGGCUGGGGUGGGAGUGGGGCGAGACGCGGGUGAUUGGGUGCGGGCGCGCCGAGCUGAUUGGGAAAAACCACCUGCACCUGCAAACGGGCAACCCAGCCAACCAACGUGCGAUGCGAGCCCACCAAUCAUUGGACGACGAAAACGACUGCGGGGUGAAAACUGAGUUUAACUGCUGUGAAGAUCAAUGGUCCAGAUGCACGAAAAAAGCAGAUCCGACGACCAACGAACAACCAAUCGGGGAAGCCUCCUGGAGGCGAGUUGCCUCGUACCUUCUUAUUGUCCAAGGAGGCCUUCUUGUCUGCAUACAGUAUGCAUCAAAAUUCAGUAUAAAAAAUGACUGCUCAUGAGUAGAAAGAUCAUCGUCGCAAUUUGAAAUGAUAUGUUCUAGUAGGAAUCCUAGAUAUACAAAGAGAGGAUUAGUUCGGCAGAAUCAAUACAAUUAUUAGUAAAAAACAGAGUCCAUAACAAUACUAUAAAAGCACUAGUCUUCAAAGUCAACCAUGCUGCAAAAACAUUUAGCACCCAUUUAAAUAUGGAUUUGGGUUCAUAUAUACACAAAGCGCAGUAAUUAUUGUGAAGCAAGAAAAAGAAUGCUCCUACUAUCAGAAAUAUGUGCCGACAACAACACCAUCCUAUUAGAGCUGUGUCUGAACCUCCAUUUGCAUAUGUAGAGCUUCUGCCAAGUUCCUAAGAAAAGGAAAAGGGGACAGAUGUAAAUUUGUAAGGUCGUGGUAUUUACCAUGCAUACAUUAUAGUGUAAUAAUUCAGAGAUAUUACUUGUUUUUGAACGGAGCACUUCCACUGCUACCUAGUCAUACCUUCUUAAUUUCUGAGGAGGCCUUCUUUGAUGCGUAUUCAGUAUAAAAAAGGACUGCUCAUGAGUAGAAAGAUCAUUGUCACAAUUUGGAAUGACAUGUUCUAGUAGGAAUCCUAGAUAUACAAAGAGAGGAUUAGUUCGGCAGAAUCAAUACAAUUAUUAGUAAAAAUACAAAGUCCGUAACAAUACUAUAAAAGCGCUAGUCUCCAAAGUCCACCAUGCCGCAAAAACAUUUAGAACCCAUUUAAAUAUGGAUUUGGGUUCAUAUAUACACAAAGCGCAGUAAUUAUUGUGAAGCAAGAAAAAGAAUGCUCCUACUAUCAGAAAUAUAUGCCGACAAGGCGACAACAACACCAUCCUAUGAGAGCUCGAAAACAUGAACAAAGAAGGCACCUAUAGCUGUUCAUGGAGCUGUGUCUGAACCUCCAUUUGCAUAUGUAGAGCUUCUGCUAAGUUCCUGAGAAAAGGAGAAGGGGACAGAUGUGAAUUUGCAAGGUCAUGGUAUUGACCAUGCAUACAUUCUAGUGUAAUAAGUCAGAGAUAUUACUUGUUUUUGAACGGAGCACUUCCACUGCUACCUAGUUGUACCUUCUUAAUGUCCGAGGAGGCUUUCUUUUCUGCAUAGAGUAUGCAUCAAAAUUCAGUAUGAAAAAGGACUACUCAUGAGUAGAAAGAUCAUUGUCGUAAUUUGGAAUGACAUGUUCUAGUAGGAAUCCUAGAUAUACAAAGAGAGUAUUAGUUCAGCAGAAUCACUAUGAUUAUGCAACAAACUAUCAACCAUUGCACUAUAUCUCAAGAAUUUACAGUGUAGCCACCAAACAAAGCGGUAAUCAAGGCAACAUCAAUCUAACAACAAUGGCCGACCGAUGAUGUUUUAGUCCUUCUAGUUUACUAAUUCAGAGGAACUGUAACAAAAAUCGCUCUUUGGUCAAUAACAUCAACUGAUUCUUUGAACUCUAAAUUCCACCCUUAGCUAAAAUUAUUCUUCCUCUCUUCUAUGUCAGAUCUGCACACGUCAAGUUUAAAAAUCCAUAUAAUAGCAAAGUAAAAUACGUGUGAGAAAGAAAUUAAGAGAGGGAGAGAAAGAGUGGAGCACCUAGUUUGCCGCCGGCUUGCAUCGCUCGAGCCGCCGGCAACAGGCACAUGUUGCCCUCCUUAUACUCCAGAUCCACGAGGUAGCCAUGGGAGGAGGGAUGAGCUCCUGGAUCCUCUCGCCUUCCCACACCGCCUGUUCACCUCGAGCUCCUUCCCCAUCCUAGGAUCGCUCUCCUUCUCCUUCCCCGCUGUUGCUUGCCUUCCUCCCCGGCCUCCUCCUUCCCUUGUCGUGCGCAUCCUACACCUCCCCUACAUCCCCACCCGCACCGCAAAGACGACCUAUGUCCGAUCUGGAUCGACGGUGACAUGGAAGAGGACAGGAGGAGGCGAGUAGAGGAGAAGGCUGGCGGUGGGAUCGACGACGACAUGGUAGAGGAGAGGAGGAGGCGAGUGGAGAGACGAGGUCGGUCGGCGGCUGCUGGCGAGGAGAGGAUCGUGGGGAUCGAGGGAGGGGUGCGGCGGCUCGUGGGGAUCGAGGGGAAAGAGAAAGAGGGCUAGGGUUCGUUUGGCGGCUGGGGUGGGAGUGGGGAGAGACGCGGGUGAUUGGGUGUGGGCGCGCCGAGCUGAUUGGGCAAAACCACCUGCACCUGCAAACGGGCAACCCAGCCAACCAACGUG
rnacentral:lncRNA from 1 species